rnacentral:lncRNA from 1 species
GUGCUAUUUUAAGUUGAGAUUUCUAUAUUUAUUUAUAAUUUACUCUGCUGAUAACAUCUUGAUUUGUCUGUGUUUAUAUUCAACUUUUAAAUAAGAAUGUCAGUCUAAGAUUCUUUCCCAAUACUUAAUAAAUAAGAAUGUCAGUCUAAGAUCCUUUCCCAAUACUUAAUAAAUAAGAAUGUCAGUCUAAGAUCCUUUCCCAAUACUUGAUAAAUAAGAAUGUCAGUCUAAGAUCCUUUCUCAAUACUUAAUCUUUCUCUUGAAUUUACUGAAGCAGUGAACUUAAAAAUUCAGAAAAUAACACAUUUAUUGUGUGAAAAAUAUAUAUGUCUUAGAUGUAUGACACUUAUGUGUUUUCUUAGGUCUGGAACAUGUAUAAGUAGCUUUGCAAGUUUUCACUGACUAGAAUGGAAACCAUGAUUUUGUUUAUUCAACUUUUUAUUUGAUUGAAACACAUUGUUCAGUGUAAUCUAAAAAUGAAAAGGUAGAAAGUAUAUGUGUCAUAUAUUUGUAUAUGUUUA